ACUGCGGAGUAUAAGUUUAUUGUAAGUAGUAUACUAUUUAGUUGCGAAAGCGUAUACAAUGAAACAGUAA
rnacentral:sRNA from 12 species